rnacentral:lncRNA from 1 species
CUCUUAUUUUGUCAUUAAUUUAUUAAAUUGCCUAAGUCUUUUGAUUAACAAGGAACUUUCUUGACAAAAGACUUUCCUUUGUUUCACAACUCUUCUUCCUUACGUGAGAAUAAAAAUAACCUAAUGGGCUAUACAUUUGCACAGGGCUCUACUAUUCAAAAGGAAGUAUAAAAGGAGGAGCAUCAACGUCUUUGGAUGUCGUCCCUUUUAUUU